rnacentral:rRNA from 1 species
UACGUAGGGUGCGAGCGUUGUCCGGAAUUAUUGGGCGUAAAGAGCUCGUAGGCGGUUUGUCGCGUCUGCCGUGAAAGUCCGGGGCUCAACUCCGGAUCUGCGGUGGGUACGGGCAGACUAGAGUGAUGUAGGGGGAGACUGGAAUUCCUGGUGUAGCGGUGAAAAUGCGUAGAUAUCGGAAGGAACAUCAGUGGCGAAAGCGGCUUCCUGGUCC